CCUACGGGUGGCUGCAGUGGGGAAUAUUGCACAAUGGGCGCAAGCCUGAUGCAGCCAUGCCGCGUGUGUGAAGAAGGCCUUCGGGUUGUAAAGCACUUUCAGCGGGGAGGAAGGCGGUGAGGUUAAUAACCUUGUCGAUUGACGUUACCCGCAGAAGAAGCACCGGCUAACUCCGUGCCAGCAGCCGCGGUAAUACGGAGGGUGCAAGCGUUAAUCGGAAUUACUGGGCGUAAAGCGCACGCAGGCGGUCUGUCAAGUCGGAUGUGAAAUCCCCGGGCUCAACCUGGGAACUGCAUUCGAAACUGGCAGGCUAGAGUCGUGUAGAGGGGGGUAGAAUUCCAGGUGUAGCGGUGAAAUGCGUAGAGAUCUGGAGGAAUACCGGUGGCGAAGGCGGCCCCCUGGACAAAGACUGACGCUCAGGUGCGAAAGCGUGGGGGGCAAACAGGAUUAGAUACCCUUGUAGUC
rnacentral:rRNA from 1 species